CCUGUGGCAAAAAAGCGGAAGUGACAUACCGGAAGCGCGCCUCCUCUGUCUACGCGCCUGAGCAGAUGUGAUCUUGCUGUGGAGCAUCGUUAUCGAAAUUCUGAACACUGAUUUUAAUUUCAACAUGGUGUUUUAGUUGAAGGAAAUAUCCAAGAUUCAAUUCUGUGUAUUUCAGCGGAAAAUCAGAUAGCGAAGAAACAAAACGGCAGCGCAAAUUGAGCUUAUGGCUCUAUGAAGGGUUUACCGGUAAAAUCUAAGGUUAAAAAGUUUGCACGUUUUCAAA